AUUGAACGCUGGCGGCAUGCCUUACACAUGCAAGUCGAACGGUAACAGGUCUUCGGAUGCUGACGAGUGGCGAACGGGUGAGUAAUACAUCGGAACGUGCCUAGUAGUGGGGGAUAACUACUCGAAAGAGUGGCUAAUACCGCAUGAGAUCUACGGAUGAAAGCAGGGGAUCGCAAGACCUUGUGCUACUAGAGCGGCCGAUGGCAGAUUAGGUAGUUGGUGGGAUAAAAGCUUACCAAGCCGACGAUCUGUAGCUGGUCUGAGAGGACGAUCAGCCACACUGGGACGGAGACACGGCCCAGACUCCUACGGGAGGCAGCAGUGGGGAAUUUUGUACAAUGGGCGAAAGCCUGAUCCAGCAAUGCCGCGUGCAGGAUGAAGGCCUUCGGGUUGUAAACUGCUUUUGUACGGAACGAAAAGCCCUGGGUUAAUACCCUGGGGUCAUGACGGUACCGUAAGAAUAAGCACCGGCUAACUACGUGCCAGCCGCCGCGGUAA
rnacentral:rRNA from 1 species